rnacentral:rRNA from 1 species
AGAGUUUGAUUCUGGCUCAGGAUGAACGCUAGCGACAGGCUUAACACAUGCAAGUCGAGGGGCAGCAUAAAAGUAGCAAUACUUUGGUGGCGACCGGCGCACGGGUGAGUAACGCGUAUGCAACCUACCUAUCAGAGGGGAAUAACCCGGCGAAAGUCGGACUAAUACCGCAUAAAACAGGGGCACCGCAUGGUGAUAUUUGUUAAAGAAAUUCGCUGAUAGAUGGGCAUGCGUUCCAUUAGGUAGUUGGUGAGGUAACGGCUCACCAAGCCGACGAUGGAUAGGGAACUGAGAGGUUGGUCCCCCACACUGGUACUGAGACACGGACCAGACUCCUACGGGAGGCAGCAGUGAGGAAUAUUGGUCAAUGGGCGGGAGCCUGAACCAGCCAAGUCGCGUGAAGGAAGAAGGAUCUAUGGUUCGUAAACUUCUUUUGCAGGGGAAUAAAGUGCAGGACGUGUCCUGUUUUGUAUGUACCCUGAGAAUAAGGAUCGGCUAACUCCGUGCCAGCAGCGGC